UAGGGAAUCUUCCACAAUGGGCGGAAAGCCUGAUGGAGCAACGCCGCGUGUGUGAUGAAGGGUUUCGGCUCGUAAAACACUGUUGUAAGAGAAGAAUGACAUUGAGAGUAACUGUUCAAUGUGUGACGGUAUCUUACCAGAAAGGAACGGCUAAAUACGUGCCCG
rnacentral:rRNA from 1 species